rnacentral:rRNA from 1 species
UACGAAGGGGGCUAGCGUUGUUCGGAAUUACUGGGCGUAAAGCGUGCGCAGGCGGCUUCUCAAGUCAGGGGUGAAAGCCCAGAGCUCAACUCUGGAAUUGCCUUUGAGACUGAGUGGCUUGAGUACGAGAGAGGUGAGUGGAAUUCCCAGUGUAGAGGUGAAAUUCGUAGAUAUUGGGAAGAACACCGGUGGCGAAGGCGGCUCACUGGCUCAUUACUGACGCUCAGGCGCGAUAGCGUGGGGAGCAAACAGG